UACUAACGACGAUAUGCUUUGGGGAGCUGUAAGUAAGCUUUGAUCCAGAGAUUUCCGAAUGGGGAAACCCAGCAUGAGUUAUGUCAUGUUAUCGAUAUGUGAAUACAUAGCAUAUCAGAAGGCACACCCGGAGAACUGAAACAUCUUAGUACCCGGAGGAAGAGAAAGAAAAUUCGAUUCCCUUAGUAGCGGCGAGCGAAACGGGAAGAGCCCAAACCAACAAGCUUGCUUGUUGGGGUUGUAGGACACUCUAUACGGAGUUACAAAGGACGACAUUAGACGAAUCAUCUGGAAAGAUGAAUCAAAGAAGGUAAUAAUCCUGUAGUCGAAAAUGUUGUCUCUCUUGAGUGGAUCCUGAGUACGACGGAGCACGUGAAAUUCCGUCGGAAUCUGGGAGGACCAUCUCCUAAGGCUAAAUACUCUCUAGUGACCGAUAGUGAACCAGUACCGUGAGGGAAAGGUGAAAAG
rnacentral:rRNA from 1 species